CCCCAGCUGGUGUAAUGGUAACACACUUGCGCAGAGAUAUACUAGCGUCUUCGGUGUGAGUCUAAGAGGCUUGCGCAAGAAACCCUGGUUCGAUUCCAGGUCUGGGUU